CCCUUAGAUGUUCUGGGCCGCACGCGCGCUACACUGAUGCAUUCAACAAGCCUAUCCUUGACCGACAGGUCCGGGUAAUCUUUGAAUCUGCAUCGUGACGGGGAUAGAUUAUUGCAAUUAUUAAUCUUCAACGAGGAAUGCCUAGUAGGCGCAAGUCAUCAGCUUGCGUCGAUUACGUCCCUGCCCUUUGUACACACCGCCCGUCGCUCCUACCGAUUGGGUGUGCUGGUGAAAUGUUCGGAUCGGCCGUUUGUCGCGGUUUCCGCGUCAUGUGGCUGAGAAGUUCAUUAAACCCUCCCACCUAGAGGAAGGAGAAGUCGUAACA
rnacentral:rRNA from 1 species